rnacentral:rRNA from 1 species
GACGAACGCUGGCGGCGUGCUUAACACAUGCAAGUCGAACGGUAAGGCCCCAGCUUGCUGGGGUACACGAGUGGCGAACGGGUGAGUAACACGUGGGUGACCUGCCCCGCACUUCGGGAUAAGCCUGGGAAACUGGGUCUAAUACCGGAUAGGACCGCACCGUGAGGGUGUGGUGGAAAGUUUUUCGGUGUGGGAUGGGCCCGCGGCCUAUCAGCUUGUUGGUGGGGUAAUGGCCUACCAAGGCGGCGACGGGUAGCCGGCCUGAGAGGGUGGACGGCCACAUUGGGACUGGGGAAAGGGCCAGGAUCCUACGGGGGGCAGGAGGGGGGAAUAUUGCACAAUGGGCGGAAGCCUGAUGCAGCGACGCCGCGUGGGGGAUGACGGCCUUCGGGUUGUAAACUCCUUUCACCAUCGACGAAGGUUUUCUGACGGUAGAUGGAGAAGAAGCACCGGCUAACUACGUG